GUGCUCACUUUGGCAGCACAUACACUAAAAUAGGAAUGAUACAGAGAUUAGCAUGGACCCUGCACAAAGAUGACAUGCAAACUGGUGAAGCAUUUCAUAUUUUU
rnacentral:snRNA from 1 species